AAUUGACUAGGUAUUUUCAUGCGCGUAGCGAAACUCUCGUGAAGUCCGAUCAAAAUUUGAACCAGCUCAAACCAGUUUAAUGUGUUUGAGAGAAAAUCUCUGAUUCAAAAAGGUAUACAGGGGGAAGUGGAGAUAUGGGGAGGAGGGCUAUAUAGACAAAUUCGGAGUUUCCACUGCGCAUCCAAAUGACGCAUUCUACGCUGGAAACAAAUUGCAGUUGAACUAUAUGACAUGCAUCUGAGACUGGAAGAAUGCGAAUAUGCAUAUCAAAGUGUUUUCAACAGUUCAAUCAUCAUUUGAAUAUGCAAAAGUUGCUCACAG